ensembl:miRNA
AGAACACUGGACUUGGAGUCAGAAAACUU